rnacentral:lncRNA from 10 species
CCCAGCAAUAAAGAAUGGACUAUAGUUAAGCUGGAAUCCAACUCCUGAAUUUCUGGAGCCCUGAAGACCACUUAGUCUUACUCACAAGGAUUGAAUGGAAUGUGAAUCUACACUCAGGUGAAGCCAGGGUAUUUUGAACGUCCCUACAAGACUGAAGCACCACUGGGAAAUAAGUAAUAGAGAUGCCAUCAUUGUGGAGGUCAUAAUGCUUGUCCUGAACACGAGGGGUCUCUAGUGGUGAGUACGGCACCAAUUCAGCUCCUCUUCUGUGGAGAGACUACAUGGGUGCUGAAGAAACAAAGACACAACGCAGCUCCUCUCAAAGGAGUUCAGAGCUUAGCAGGGGAGACAGAACCAUGAAUGCAUAGUUACGCAUCAAUGUGCUGCACGAGCACUGAAGCCCAAGCACAAGCGGCCUGAGUCCCAGUGAGUCUAACCCCUCCCCAUCCUGCCCUCCCACACCACAACCCAAUCCUGAUGCUGUACUUAAUUUUGUCACACUUGGAGAUCAUCCCC